CCUUGUGUCGUCCACCUCACUUGCCUUGUGGGCAAGGAUUCCUUUCCUUUCCUUUCUAGUCAACAUACCUUACUUAGCCCCCUUUUUUGGUGCCUUUGUCCCCCUUAUUGCCUUUUUCCCUCCCUUACCAUACGUUGGUCGACCAUGCACCUAGACACACUUCUAUUUUUAUUUUUUUCUCAUAUUUUCUCUCCUCAUCUCCCUUUAGUCGCCCCUCCUCCUUAAUCCUCCCUUUUUUCUAUUUUUGUUUAUUU
rnacentral:lncRNA from 1 species